GAUCAUGGCUCAGGAUGAACGCUGGCGGCGUGCCUAAUACAUGCAAGUCGAGCGAACAGACGAGGAGCUUGCUCCUCUGAUGUUAGCGGCGGACGGGUGAGUAACACGUGGAUAACCUACCUAUAAGACUGGGAUAACUUCGGGAAACCGGAGCUAAUACCGGAUAACAUGUUGAACCGCAUGGUUCAACAGUGAAAGACGGUCUUGCUGUCACUUAUAGAUGGAUCCGCGCCG
rnacentral:rRNA from 1 species